rnacentral:rRNA from 1 species
CGGUGAACGUAGUGGCAGCAGGGGCUGUAAGGCGGAGGUGGCAAGCGUGGUCCCGAUGCAGUGGGCGUAAAGCGCGCGCAGGCGGUCUGCUACGUCUGGGGUGAAAACCCGGGGCUCAACCCCGGGACUGCCUUGGAUACGGGAAGACGUGAGGAUCGGAGAGGCAAGGGGAAUUCCACGUGUAGCGGUGAAAUGCGUAGAGAUGUGGAGGAACACCUGUGGCGAAGGCGCCUUGCUGGCCGAUUUCUGACGCUGAGGCGCGAAAGCGUGGGGAGCAAACAGGAUUAGAACCCUGGUAGUC